GACGAACGCUGGCGGCGUGCUUAACACAUGCAAGUCGAGCGGAGCGGCGCACGUGUGAGUAACGCGUGAGUAACUGCCCCCCUCUCUGGGAUAACAGGUGGAAACGGCUGCUACUACCGGAUAGUGGGGGUUGACUCGCGUCCUAUCAGCGUGUUGGUGGGGUAGUGGCCUACCAAGGCGACGACGGGUAGCCGGCCUGAUAGGGCGACCGGCCACGUUGGACUGAGAUACGGCCCGAACUCCUACGGGAGGCAGCAGUGGGGAAGAUUGCGCAAUGGGGGAAACCCUGAUGCAGCAACGCCGCGGGCGGGAUGACGGCCUUCGGGUUGUAAACCGCUUUCAGCCAUGACGCGGUAGUGGCAGAAGAAGCACCGGCUAACUACGUGCCAGGCGCCGCGGUAAUUC
rnacentral:rRNA from 1 species